CAAAAAAAUCCGUUGAGACGCACAACUCGAUCACGCUCGUUUCCACCGCCUCCGGCGUCCUCGGCGUCGAUCCCAACCGACCUCGAUGGCGACAUCCGUCUCUCCUCUUCCAUUUGAAUCUGCGUCCGUCUCCUCGACCCUCCUCGGACGAUCGCGGCCAACUACCUUGUCCCCGCCGUCUCCGGCACCAAGAACCGCCUCCCUCACCUCCUACCGCCUCCAGAGUGGAGUCAACUGUGGGGAUUCGGGAUCUGUUAUCCCCGGAUCGGUAUUCAUAGCAUUUCACUACGAUCACUGCUGGCACAUGGCGGUACACUGAUCCCUCCCGACAUGGUCACUUGUGAGGGAUCUCCCCGUAGGAACUUUGUAUCCAUCCCCACCCCACCCCCCCCUCCUUUGCAUUUGGAACAGAUCGAAUCGCGUUAUACAUCUGGCAGAUCCGGCUGUGGCGGCCAUGACAGCUAGGGCUUGGCAGGGGUUUGUGAUCGUCCACCUCAUCUUCUCGACUCUUUUCACUGCGCUCUACGAGGAUAAGUCCUGGUGACGGAUUGGUUUGUAGAUCCUCUUUUAUAUUACUUCUUUUCCCGUCGUCAUGUGUGUUUCCUUCUUUUAUGCAACUUCGAAUAUGUUGUCCAGGUUUCUUCUACUUCUUUUGAAUUCUUCCUCAUUAAAGCAAUCAAACAUGUACUUUGAAUCUCGUCCCUUUUGUUAUGCAAUCAUACCAAUAGUUUCAUAAAUCUCUUGCUUCUCGAUGUGUUAUUAGUUUGACCUUAAUAUCUAUAUGCUAAAUUUUGCAAAUGAAAUAAAUGAUGUUUAUCAAGUAUUUUCUGGAGCUAGAUUUUUCUGAUAUCGGGAUGAUUACUAACAAUAUUUUAGAACAUUAGAGAAUUACCAUCAGUUAGGAUGGGUUCCUUGUAGUCGUGUAAAGUUGCAAAUUUUAGAUGAUAAAUCAAGGAAACGAAAAUUGCAUGCAAUUGAGCACAACAUCUAGAUAAUGAGAUUUUGAUCAUGCACUUUAUCAUCUAAGAGGUUGAGCUGAAUACUGUAGAAACUAUAGUUUUUAUUUUGUAUCCAUAUGUUUGUUCUUACAUGUAUGUCGUUUCUUCUUUUAAGUUUUACAUGGUUAUUGGUGGUAAUGAUUUCAGUAUUUCUGCUACAAAUAUUCUUGUUGAAAUUAGAGAGGCACUAACCUUUUCGUACUUGUACUUCUCCUUUUCAGUCUGUUAUAAUAUUAAAUUAAUUAGAUACAAUUAGGUUUCUUUCUUCACAUCAAAUUAUUUUGAAUCUUAAAGAGCAGAAACUAAUUGUAAAAGAAACCCUUAUGAGGGAGAACGAGUAGGGUAGUCAAACCUUUUUCAGCCCUUGAUCUAACUCUGUGCUUUUGGGGCUUAUAAUUCCAAUCAUAAAUCACAUUUGUUUUCUUGGCAAGAGUCAUGUUCUUCUUUCAGUCAAAGUCAUUCAGCAUCUAGAUUGCAUAUGUUCAAUCUGAUAGAGUAUAGUCAAAAUCUUUUUAAAUUAUCCAACCAUAUUUUAAUAACAUAAGAUGAUUUAGUUGAGUAUUUUAGGGGCUCAAAUGACCAUUCUUGUUAAAAUGUAUAAUUAUUUAUUGAAGUUGAAAGACAUUUAUAUGGCAUGAUGUAGUUUAUUAAAAGCAACUUUUCUUUGUGACACUCAUAACAUUGAAACUGUAUACCAAAUGGGACCACCAAUAUCUCCAUUUUGAAUGUCAGUCUGGAUUGGCUCUCUACGCUGCCCAAAACUAUCCAGUUUGGUUUGGCUUAUAUGUAAGAUGUAGGUAAUCCUUUUAAACAGUACCUCCUUGUUUUGUUGAACUUUGACCAUCAAGUCAAAAUGUGAACAGUCUAUCUUGUUUCUCCUGAUGUUAGUAAACUACACCGACUUGUUUUAGAUCAGUAAAACCAUUGGUUCUUGAGUAUGGUACUCGUCUCUAUUGGAGGGCUCACAUGGUUUGAGAUUUUCUUGGGUCAUGUGCUGUAGCAAAUUAGCCAAAAGCAUUUUUCCCUGCAUUAUGUUUAUUCUCAAAAAGCUUGUGCCACGUUUUGUAGGAUCGACCUAUUCCAAUGGUGGAUCGAAUCACCCAACUGAUAUUGAAACCCUUGGGAAAUUGUGGAACCAGUUGGACUUGGCAGAGUUAAUCAAACUUGAUUAUUUUUUAGCUGAUUCUAAUUGCUUUUGACAAAUUAUCAUUAGUAUUGAUGAGCUUUGGCUACUCUUAAUCUCUAUCAUUACUGAUUCUUUGUGGCGCAAUCAAUGUUUGACGGGUUUCUUUGCUUCUGGACUAUAGCCAACUUUUGGUCAAUCAUGGACAUUUUGAAUUGAUUUCAUGAAAUCUGAUAAGACAAUAUGAUUCUGUUGGUGCAUAUUAAUCUCAAUUUCAUCUAUCACCAUUCUUGAACUGAUCUCAAUCUCAUGAACUUUGGUCAAGUAUCAUCAUUUUCGAAUGGUUGCCUUCAUCGUUUAACCUCUAGAUGUAGCUAUUGAUGCUAACUUCUGUGUAUUUCUGUCAUGAUUUGUGUAUUUGUUUCUUAAUUUAUUAGUGUACCAUUUUUGCCUUCCGAAGAUGUAUCCAAGCUCACAUUAUCUUCUCAUUUCUUUUAUCAACUUUGAUACCUUCCAACUAGAAGUUCCAAAUGAGAGGGAAGACCUCCAUUUUCCCUAUCUACCUAUCGAUGUUUUAGAUAUCAUUUAUUAAGCUAUGUGUCCCCUCCAGCCUGUGUAAAUUCUGGCUGUUUCUCUGAAUAAGAGGCAUGUGAUGAACUUACUGGAGUGGUUCAAAAGGACACCUUUAUGAUGUUUUAAAGGGGUGAUAAUUGGAAUUUAGGUUGGUCAAAUAUAUGACCAUGGCAUAGCCAUGGAUUAUUGUAUGCACAUAUGCAUGCUAUAUCAUCAUGCCUUUGCAAAUUAAGAUGUGCCCAUGUGUCAUAGCUAAGUUGUGCAUCUACUAUGUAUUUAUGUACGCAUAUCAGAAAGAUGUCAAACUAUUUAUUCUUUUUUUCUCGUCUGGAGAUUUCAUAUAUACAUGUAUAUAUACAUGUGUUAGGGUGGACCUUGGUACAACACUAAGCUUGCUCCUUUUCAACCUUGUGGCCAAUUUUUGAGUCUCAAAAAUAGCUUCUCUAAGGUAGAGGGAAGGCUGCAUAUAUGGAGAAAUAUAUAUACAUAUGCAUGUAUAUAAUAUAGUAUAAUAUAAUAUAAGAAUACUUAAAUUUAUAAAUUUAGGCAAAUACUCCAAGCAACUCUUUGUAUAAGAUUGUGGGUAAUAUUGCUUGACCUGGUGACCUUGUUGGCGGUUGUGCUGUUGUAAUCAUAAUGUCUAUGAAGACUUAGGAAUAUCCUUUGAGCUAAAUUUCCUGUCCUCUGUUCUACCAGACUUUGAGCGUGCUAUUAUUUAGUUCAGUGGAUGAUUUGUAUACUGUAGUUAUAUUAGUCAAGUGGAUGAUCUUUUUUUUAUGGCUAUAUUUUGAAUAGAUUAAGCUGCCCAUUCUCAAUACACAGGAUAAAACUGGGAGAAAACAUGUUGUAGCACUUAUGGAAGAGAAUGUCAUUCCUUCUCUUGAUCUCCAUGCAGAUGAUAGCUGUCAGUUUGGACUCAUAUAUUCUGUUAUCGUGUUAGUUAUCAAGUCUCUGCUUAUUAAUGUUCAGAGUAUGAUACCAUGAGUAAAAUAGGAAACCUUGUUUGUAUAAUUAGAAACUCCAAUUGUGUAAGUAUUAGAAUAUUUGGGGUUUCCUUUUCUCUUCUUGAGAAUUGAAAUAACUUUUAGUUGGCUUACUUCAUGCAGCUUGGAGGCAUGUUCUUGGAAAAAAUGGCCAUCUCAAUCAAGUUGACACUGCUCUUUUGAAGUGUAAUUUUCUCUAGUACUUUGUAGAUGUAGUUAACUUUUUGGGGCAUUAGCCUAUGAUUUCCACUCUUUGAUGUAUAUCUCUUCCUUACCGAGAUUGCUCCACCAAGAGCUUAUGAUUCGCUUACUGGAGAUUUCAGCUGCACACGUCUCACAAUCAUUUCACUAGUUGCCGCCAUUUCUGUGACAUGGACCUCAUCCGAGCAGGAGCAUAGAGAGAAAUAGAGCUUUUACAAACUAGGUGAAGCCCUUGCCGGAGUGAUGACUGACAUCAGAGAUCGCAGCCUGCUAACAAGCGCUUCCGACUUCUUUUCAUUUUGGUGGCUUGGUUCUUCAAGUGCCUGUGCCAGGUCCAGUUUCUCUAGAUGCCACCUGUUACCUGAAAUUGAGAUGCUAGAUAUCUGAAAGCGAUAGGAUGUACUGUGAGUGAAGGUUUCAUAUUUUUCAUCCAAUACUAUCAGCUAGGAUGGUUUUGGAGUCUUCAGCUAGUGGCAGCCUAAAAGAAGAAUUCACAGGUUCGCAAUACCGAACAAAAGGUGACACACUUGACAAAAGAUUGGGGCAAGCAUGCUAAUAAUGGUAAAUGAUUUUCAAAGUAUCGUUGGCAAUCAUCGAAAGCAAAACACUUUGAGUCGAGCUGCACAAUGCAAAGCCGGAGACGAGGGGUCAUAUCCUAUUUCUCACUUUGUUGAAGCUGUUGACUCUUUCUGGUGCCAGAGUCUGACUUGCAAUCAAUGCAGCCCAUUUGAAGGAACACCAUGGAGGCCUACCACCACUUGCCUCACCCCUUAAGAGAAGCCAUGUGAUAUGAUGGUACUCCACCUCUUGAUACAACUCCACUUUGCGGUCUGCACUUGAGCCCACCACUCAAGUAACAGAGGCCAUGCACCAUUUGAAGAUGGUACAAUCACUGUUGGGUGCAACGGGGAUUACUGUAGCAUCCAUGUUGGAAUAGUGAAGGUGGGUCUCACUGAUUUGAGCUCAUUUUUAUCUCCAACGAAUCGAGAAGGUUAUCUUCCUUCUGUCUGCAGAUGGCAGUGCAUUGAGGAUAAAUUUUUAAAGGGACUUCGUAACCUGCUGUCUACACUUAUCACAGGGAUGCUCAACUAUGGGAAUACAAAUUCAUAAGUUGAAAGGCCAGAAUACUCAAGGUAAAAUUUGUUGGAGGUUUGGAGCAUAGUAUGAUUUAGAAACUAAGAUUACAUUUGGCUGGGCCUUGCAUCGAAUUCAGUACAGUGCAGAUGUUUAAUACAAGAUAGAAAAUUCGGUAACAUGACAUGAUUCUAUCUUCUACCAGAUCCCAGUUUGGGGAUAUUGGUGGUAGAAGGGGUCGCAUUGUUGCAGCAUUGCUUCCAUGCUUAUCAGCACACAAAAAGUUAUUGAUGCUACUGUUGGUGACACUACUUAAAAGAGGAGUCUCUUGGUCCACCUUAUCUCGUCAACCAUAGGAGGCCAAGAAAAUAUCCAAUCUUGGGUCCCAAAAGGGAACCCAUUGCUACUGUGGAAUGGUUUCCAAUUAGAUCAGGAACUGUAAGAAAGAGGAGGCUGAGGGAGACUUCUAAUCACUCUGUUACACAACCCACCAACAAAGGAGGUCCCCUUCCACCUACAAUUCGACAACUACGUUGGUGCUCAUUCUGUAUCAUGUAGCCCAAAUCUUUCUCUGGAUUCCACUGUGCCACCACCGGCAACUCGGUCCACGAGCACAUCGUUCAAGUGACUGCCAUCAUGUUAUCAAUCUCAAUUAUUGGAUCUGAAGUUGGCGCCGACGCAAUAGAUGCAUGUAACGGAAUCUUGAAUUCCAUGGGGCUACCAGCUUUCCUAGGCAUGUUCUUGUGAUGCCUUCUUUCCUUUGGCAAAGUAGCAUGCUUGAUACUUUGGUCUUAGACCAAUCAAAUGAACAUGAAGAUUAGAUGUGGGAAGUGAAAGCCACUCCUAGUUUCAGAUCCUCCUUAUCUCAAGAUGGUUCCAGAGUGAUGCUUAUUUAUCAAAUAAUGUUGAUCUAUAUGGAAGAAAGAAACCCCUCAACUAAUGAUUCUCUUGAGAGGCACUUGAAAUUGCUGUUAUUUGUCCAGCCAUUAAGGUUUAGCAGAAAAGAAAAGGAUGAGAGACAAUUUUUCUUGGUCAGAGCCUUGGUGAUGGCAAAACAACAAAUUCCCUUUUGGCUUUUCUCUGUCUAAUUUUGGGCACCAUUCCAAUAUGGUGAAAGGUAAUUCUGAAAGCUUCCGUGUGCUAUUUUUCUUCUAUUUUCUCUUUCAACUAUUAUGAAAUAAAAUUAAUCUUAA